GCUGGGUGUGGUGGCGCACGCCUGUAAUCCCAGCAGCUCGGGAGGCUGAGACAGGAGGAUCGUGACUUCAAAGCCAGCUUCAGCAAAAGCGAGGCACCAUGCCACUCAGUGAGACCCUGUCUCUA
rnacentral:sRNA from 1 species